UACGUAGGGGGCUAGCGUUGUCCGGAAUCAUUGGGCGUAAAGCGCGUGUAGGCGGUCCGGUAAGUCCGCUGUGAAAGUCGGGGGCUCAACCCUCGGAUGCCGGUGGAUACUGUCGGGCUUGAGUACGGAAGAGGCGAGUGGAAUUCCUGGUGUAGCGGUGAAAUGCGCAGAUAUCAGGAGGAACACCGGUGGCGAAGGCGGCCUUCUGGACGGUGACUGACGCUGAGACGCGAAAGCGUGGGGAGCAAACAGG
rnacentral:rRNA from 1 species